AUGCUUUUAUAUUUGAAUUGGUGUCCCCUCUCAUGGAUAAAACCCCAUAGUGAGCAAUCACAGCAGAAGUGUGAAAGCCGGGAUCCAUUGGCUUCCACAGUGGACUUAAUGUUCUUUUCCUCCUCUCUUUCAGGACAGGAGAAAUCAUUGAGCUCCUCCCAUCUUUGCCAGAAGCUUCAGUGUUUAAGCAGCCAGAGCCAAGAGGCUUCAGCACCAGGGGUGUGCGCUGGAGGGCUCCUGGUCCUGCCCAUGCUGUGGGGGAGCCAGGACUGGCACAAGGACUCGUACAGGUGCUGCUCUGGCACUGGAGCUGUUGCCCUGUGGAGCCAUUUUAAAGGUGUGAUUAUGGAACAUUUUGGAGGCCGUUUCUGGAAUUCCAUUUGUAGCUGGAUCUCACUCCGAGUGCAGCAGUCCAUAUGCUGCACUCACCUCUGCAGACAAGCGCUGAGCUCUCACUGCAGGAACCCGUCAGGCCUCGGUGGCUGAAAGGGAUGCACAUCCCUGCCUGCAGCACACCUCCAGUGGGACCCACCUGUGAGAGUUUUCCAUCACUUCUGCACCUCCAGCUGGCUCCCUGGAAAUCUCCAAACAUCAUCGCACUCGAACCUCUGAUUUUAAGGCAUCUCCGAGGCUGUGGCUUGGCAUUUAGUAUCUGUGAAGGAAGAUUGCCUUGGCUCAAAUUGCCUUUGCUCUUCUAGGGGAUGCGGUGGAAGGGGAGCCCACAUUUCUUUGUCCUAGUUGAAGUGAGGUGAGCGCCCGAGAGUGGCGUCAGUUUCGGGGCUUCAAAGGAAGGGAGGCGCGGCUGUGGCAGCACUGGCAGGGUGGGCGUGGGGCUGUGCCGCUGCAUUUGGGGUGCUUCUUCUGCCCCUGGCCUGGCAGCAAAGGGUCCGGCACGGGAGCCCCGCUGGCAGUGGCUGAGGAUGGCCGAGGUGGGAGGGGAGUUUGGCACGGCUGGGCUGCCGCGGGACUGCUGGAGCCGUGCCGGUGCGAAGCCGAGGGGAGCUUUGGCCGGGCCGGCGGGCGGGGCAGGCGGCGCGGGCGCUGCGCCGGUGCCGGCCGCUCCGUCCGCUCCGGGCGCGGGACUCGGGCGCCUCCGGGGCCCCCCGGGCCCGGUGCCGGCCCCGCUGGGCCGGGGGGAGCGGGCGGGGGUCUCCCGGCGCGGCGCCGCCUCUGCCUGCCGGAGGAUCCUCUUUCCUGCCGGGAGCGCGGCUUCUCAUUUUCCAGCGUUCCUUGCUGGCGUGGCUGUGAGGUGGUUCUGGGGAACUUAUCGGAUCCUUUUCUGUUGUCCGGAGUUGGUGUAGGAGAAGGGCCGUGGGGCACUUUUUGGUUGGUAUGGUUCUCGCUUCAGGCGCUGAUGACAAGGGGUUUUUUUUGGCUUGAGUGUUGUUGUUGGAUUUCUUUUUGAUUGUUUCUGAUGUUUUUAAAGGAUGAUUUUUUAAAGGCUUACAAUGGUUUUUCUGGUCGUAGCAUGAAGUUGAGGGUAGGUUUUUAAUUGGGUUGUGGAGGCUUUUAUUAGCGUGAGUGUGUAGUGAUUGUUUUGGUGGCUUGAGGUAGUGUCCUGUACUUAAUUAGUUAGGUUAUUUUUUUUUUUUAUAUUCAUGAUUGUAUUCUUGUUUAUUAUAUUAUAGGGGUUUUAUUCAUUUGGCUUAUUUGAUUGCCGUGUGUGUUUUAUUGUUGCAGAAAAUUUGGAAGUUAUUGUUUAUGGUUACAUUUCUCUUUUGGCGAUGUGCUUAUUUCUAAGUGGUAUUUGUGUUUUGAUGGUUUGAGGCAUUAUGGGUUUAUUGAGUUAGGAAUAAUUAUUUUGUUGUUGUUAAUAUGAUUUUUUUUUGGUAGUUUGAUGUAUUUGGUUGUUGUUUUUUAUUAGUUUUGUUUUUGGGAACGUGGGUAUUUCUAUGGUGGAUCUUUUUAGGUAGUUAUUUUAUUUCGGUGGUGAAUCUUUUCUUUCUUCGUGGUUCCGAUUUUGUUAUAUCGGUAAUUAUUUGGUGGGGUUUUUUGGUUCAUUUUAUAGAGUAUUGGGUUCUCUUUAGGAGUUAGUGUAGUGGUAGAGUUUUGGUGGUUUUUUUUUGGUUUUGUUUUUUUUAAGAAACGUUCGGGGUCUGUUGUAUGGUUUGGAGUAUAUCAAGUUAGUUGGUGGGUUUUUUUUUCUUAAAGGUUUUUUUGUGAUUUGCUGUGUGGGUUUCUAUAGGUCUUUUUAAAAAUGUUUGUUUCAUUUUUGUGAUGUGAUAAGAACUGCUAGUGAAAGAAGUGUAGUGCAGGUUUUUUUGCUGGUAGUUGGUUGGCUGUGGAACAAUUCUGAAUAUUUUGGACGGCAUUGUUGGGAAUUUGAUGCUGUUUGUUUUGGCAUUUUAGUUUGAGGAACUGGAUUAGAACUGCAAAGUUUUAACUCUAAUGAAACAAAAGGAAUGCAUAAAUAUGAAAAUGGGAAUAUAAAACUUCAAUUUUAAAUAUGAACGGAAAACAUAUAAAUAAAACAUGUAACAUGAAUAAUGUUAUCCAUUACUAUUAGGUAUUAUAUUGUUUGAUAUAGGGUGUUUUAUAUGUUUAUAUACAUAUAAAUGUAGAUUAUAAAUAUAAAUAUGCAUCUAGAAAUGUAUAAUUAAUACAUGUGGAUAUAUAAAUAUUACAAAAGAAUAGGAAUCAAUACAGUACAUAAUGCAUAUUUUACUGUAUAUGUCGUAUUAUGACACAUUAUAUGUCAUAAGAAUUAUAGCUCGAAAUAUAGUACCUCAAGAUAUUGUGAUAGAAUAUAUAAGUACUUGUAAAAAUCAAAAAUAGAAAUAAAGAAAUAUGUAAAUAUAGUUUAAAGUAAAGGGGAUUUUAAUUGUCUAUUUGGUAGUAGGUAGGGGUUUUAUUAUAAAAAUUAUAAAUAUAAAUAAAAUUAGAAAUCUAUGUAUAGAAAUAUAUCCUAAAUACGUUAAGAGCUAUAUAAAAUCUCAAAGGUAAGUAAAUAUAAGUAUUUGCGGUAUGUACAAAAUAGAAUUGAAAUGAAAAUUUAUCUAUCUUGCUACCUUAUUAUCUAUAUAAUAUAUAUUUAUAGAUACAUCAAUAUAAAGGAGAAAUGCGCAUGUGACUAUAAUGAUGAAAAAAUAUAUGAAUAUUCAAGUAGGGUUUAAAGAAAGGGAUUUUUUUGUUUUUAUUUGGUUAGAGGCAGGGUUUUAAUGGAAAAACUAUGAAUAUACAUUUUAUUUUGAUAUCAUUCUAAAAAUGGAGAUAUAUAAUCAAUGUAUGCAGGUAUAGAUAAAAAUACAAAAUAGAAAUAAAAAUAAGUAUUAGGAAGAGAUAGACUAUAAAUAACACCAUACAUCAAUGUACAUUUAAAAUGUACAUUUGAAUAUAAAUGCGAAAAAUAGAGAUAAAUUUAAAUGCAGUAUAAAAGAAAGGGGGUUUUAAAAAAAUUUUUACUUGGAUAGAGGCAGGGUCUUUAUUUGAAGCCAUAUAAACCUUUUAGAAAUCUAAAUCUAACUAUAGAAAUAUAUAAGCAAUAUAUUAAGAUAUGUGUAAAAAUAUAAAAUAUAAUAAAAUAUAAUAGGAAUAAAUGUAAGAAAUUAUAAAAAUAAAAUUACACAUCAAUCUACGUUAUAAAUCCAAAUGUGAGUAUAAAUAUGAAAAAUAUAAAAAAAAAAAAGCUUGAAAUGCAGUUUAAAAGAGAAGGUUUC
rnacentral:lncRNA from 1 species